AUCACCCACAUGCAGAGGGCCUCGUUCAGUUCCACGCAGGAUUCCCAACUGGCUGUCUAGAGUCGUGAGCUCCCUCGAGUUCCGGUCAGCUGACUCAGUGGGUUUCCGCCUUAUGGCACAAGAGAACGUUAAGCCGUUAUACAACCUUCCGGAAAAAAAGAAAAUUUCUCUUGCAGACUGACAGACUCUUCUCAGACUCUUGCUUGUUUAUGGAUAAAGUCAGAAGAGAACCGAUGUAUUUUCAGGAAUUGGUGGGGGAGCAUCAGAGAUCUCUAGUGUACAAGGGAAAACAACAGGGACCACAAGCAUGGGCAAGCUUGAAAUGUUCCCACUCGGGGACCUGUUCUCAGGAAGGCUAAGAUGCUACCUCACCCAUGUAGUGUACACCAAGGGACACGAUGUCAUCGGAUGGUUGUCCUUCAUCUCUGGAGCUCUGUUAUCUACCAAGUUCAACCUUGGCUUCUUAUGUAUUCCUCUUCUGAGCACUGUGACUGCUGUCUGUCUCCAUGCUGCUCAUGUUGUCAGCAGGAAAUAGCCAGAGAUACUGUUGUGACAGUCCCUAAAUAGCACUUAAAGUGACCUUGGUGUGGUGUGUGUGAGAAAAUUCAGGGGUCAGAUAACACUUGAGGUUGUUGGAGUAGGAAUAAGAGGUCAUAAAUAAACCACAAAAUGGCAA